AUUGAUUUGUGGUCUAAUUUACUUCUGUGGGAUGUGUAUGUGAAAAAAGGCUAAAUAACCAAAAAAUUUAAUAAGUAAAGUAGAUAGAAGUCUAGAGGUGGAAAGUAUUGGAGCACAAUUUGGUAGGGUGCUUGAAACUUAAGUAUCUAAGAAAGCAUUCUAUUGAUUAGAUAAGUUGCAGAUUAAAUAACUUUUCUCUUAAAAAAUUUAGAAACUUUAGUUGUGACCAUGAGGGACCGAGCAGCUUGCUAGAGAUCUCUAUUCUUCUUUCAGCUAUCCCAUUUUGUUGAAGGGUAUCAACAUGCACUUUGAUGAAUAAUCCCCUCCUUUUCAAGAUAUAUACCCAACAUUUUUUCAAAAUAUUCUUUUGCAUUGUCUGUAUUGAAUACUUCUUUUUUUUUUGGAAUUGAGCUUGGACCAUCUUGUUAGAUUUUUCUAAAUAUAUGACCAACUUUUUUUUUUCUUUCAUGAGAAAUAGAUAUGUAAUUCUUGUAUGAUCAGCUACAAAUGAUAUAAACCAUCUAGUAUCAGAAUGAUAUUGAUUCUAGAUGAUUAUCAAACAUCACUAUGGACCAUAGUAAAUGGUUUAGAGGCUCUAUACGGCAUGUGGGAUAUAUAGUACGAAUAUGUUUUGAUAAUUGACAUACUUCACAAUGAAAGUUAUGAAAGUCGGACUAUAAUUCUACUUCAUAGGGAAGUUUCCCUAAAGAAAUACCAAUUUGUAUAAGAAUUAGACUUCUACAGAAAGUCAAAUUCCAAUAGUUAAUUUUUUAAUAGAAGGAUGUAGAAAUUUGGGUUUUUUCUAAGAAGUUGUAAACUUAACAAAGAAUUAUAUGGAAAAAAAAAAAGAAAUUAGGCUUCAAUGCCAACUAAUGCAAAACCAAGACAUCGUGAAAUAAAACUGUCCUUAGGAUAAUUUAAAGUCAGAACAGAAGAGUAGAGGUAGACCAGAGAAAGUUGGACAUCAAAUAAAGAACCAUAUAGAGAAAUAGACAGAACAGGAUAAGUUAGAUAAACCAAUAACUUGAGAAAGAACAAAGAGAGAAAUAGACAUGAUUGCAUCACACAACCAAGACAUAUGAAAACUCUAAGAAUAACUUAUUGACUCAUGGCCUAUCUGUAAAAUUACAAAGGUAUUUGUACUGCUUCAAUAUAAAAGCUCAAUCUAAUUACACCUAAGGAAUGCUAAUAGAAAACUUUAAAAAAAGAAUUUAAACUAUAAAUAAAUCCUAAAGUCGCUGAAGACUUAAUAUCACCCAUACUAUUUCAAGAAAUUGCAGAUUAGUAAGCAACAAAAUUUCUUAUCAACUCAGAAUAUCUAGUUCAUAUCCAUUCGGCAUUAAGUAAAGACAUUGAUUAACAUUCAAAACCCCAGUUUGUAAUCCCCUUAUGCAAAAGCAGGCAUUAUUGAGUAUGCUUAAUAACCAGCACAAAAAACCUGAAUGGUUUUGGAUUGAACAUAUCAAGCAUCCAAAGUUAUAGACAUUAAUAGUAUUUAUGGUGAUAAAUCUUGCCACCGAAGUGUACAAUU
rnacentral:lncRNA from 1 species